GGCCAGGUUGAAGUUUGUCGAAAGACAAAUGGAGGACCGAACCCGUAGAUUGUGCAAAAUCUUGGGAUGAGCUGUGGUUGGCGGAGAAAUUCCAAUCGAACUCGGCAAUAGCUGGUUCUCCUCGAAAUAGCUUUUGGGCUAGCCUCGAGUGUUGAUCGUAGGGGGUAGAGCACUGAAUGAGGAUGGGUUUACUGUCCUUAACCAAACUCCGAAUACCUACGAAUAUAACUCGGGAGUCAGACUAUGGGCGCUAAGGUCCAUUAGUCAAAAGGGAAACAGCCCUGAUCGCAAGCUAAGGUCCCUAAAGAUAUGUUAAGUGUCAAAGGUGGUGUCGUGACCUCGACAACUAGGAGGUUGGCUUAGAAGCAGCCAUCCUUUAAAGAUAGCGUAACAGCUCACUAGUCAAGUCGUUUCGCGCCGAAAAUUUAUCGGGGCUCAAACAUAUUACCGAAGCUGCGGGUGUUCGGAUUUCAGAUAUCGGAUGUCAGACGUCGGAUUGUCGUUUUACUAAUAUUAUAGAUUAUAGCAACUUCCAAGAUUAGAGUUGUUGUAGAUUUAGCAGAACGCAAAUCCGAAUUCCGAAUUCCGAUAUCCGAAAUCCGAACACGGUAGAGGAGCAUUCCAUUCGGCUGUGAAGUCAAGUUGUGAAGCGAGAUGGAGCGUAUGGAAGAGAGAAUGUUGGCCUAAGUAGCAAAAAGGCGGGUGACAACCCCGCCCACCGAAAAUCUCAGGUUUCCUGGGCAACGAAAAUCGUCCCAGGGUUAGUCGGUCCUAAGGCGAGGUCCGUGUAGUGCGGACGUAGUCGAUGGAAGAGCUGGUUAAUAUUCCAGCACUGCUUCAGUUUUCCGAUGGGGAGACGAAGUUUCAAGGUUAGAGCGUGUCUAUGGUAUGCACGUUGCCGAUUGUGGUCUAUUGUUCAGGUAAAUCCGGACAGUGUUAAAGACUGUGGUCGUCAAGAGAUAAAACCUUCGGGUGGAAUCGAUUCUAGCGGAGAAGUUUCCCAGAAAAACCUCUAGGGCUAAGGCUGAAGCAACCGUACCGCAAACCGACACAGGUAGAUGAGGCGAGGAGCCUCAGGUGAACGAGAGAACCUUCGUUAAGGAACUAGGCAAACAAGCGGGCGUAAGUUAGCGAUAAGCCCUCCCGAGGCCGGAUAUCGGAUGUCAGAUAUCGGAUUUCGGACGUCGGAUUUCGGAUUGUUUUUUGCAGAGUUUAGUAAAAUGUUCAGCAAUGAAUUUUUUUAUUAAGUUUGUACAAGAAAUAAAUCUGAUAUCCGAUAUCUGAAUUCCGACUUCUGGUUUCUGCUAUCCGGCCCCGGGCGCAGCGAAAGACUUUCAAGUGACUGUUUAACAAAAACACAGCUCCCUGCUAACUCGAAAGAGGAUGUAUAGGGGGUGAUGCCU
rnacentral:rRNA from 1 species